GAUGAACGCUGGCGGCGUGCCUAAUACAUGCAAGUCGAGCGAACAGACGAGGAGCUUGCUCCUCUGACGUUAGCGGCGGACGGGUGAGUAACACGUGGAUAACCUACCUAUAAGACUGUGAUAACUUCGGGAAACCGGAGCUAAUACCGGAUAAUAUAUUGAACCGCAUGGUUCAAUAGUGAAAGACGGUUUUGCUGUCACUUAUAGAUGGAUCCGCGCCGCAUUAGCUAGUUGGUAAGGUAACGGCUUACCAAGGCAACGAUGCGUAGCCGACCUGAGAGGGUGAUCGGCCACACUGGAACUGAGACACGGUCAAGACUCCUAAGGGAGGCAGCAGUAGGGAAUCUUCCGCAAUGGGCGAAAGCCUGACGGAGCAACGCCGCGUGAGUGAUGAAGGUCUUCGGAUCGUAAAACUCUGUUAUUAGGGAAGAACAAAUGUGUAAGUAACUAUGCACGUCUUGACGGUACCUAAUCAGAAAGCCACGGCUAACUACGUG
rnacentral:rRNA from 1 species